AGUUUCCAAACAGCCUUCAGGGGCUGACUUACUUGCUAUGCCUAUUCAUUGACUGACCUUGUUACUAUGCCCUGUUCCAGUUCAUGAAUAUUCUGACAGUUUGAACUUGAUUUUCCUGAUGCUGGAAACGAAGCAUUGUCCACGAUUAUAGCACAUAGCAUGCCCUCUUAUUUCCCGCAAAGUUUUUAAUAUAAGUUAAGAUGGUAAGAAGUGUGUAAGAACCCUUAGAGAGUGAACUGGCUGUUGAGAUUACCUAAAGGUAUGCCUCCUGGACAGGCAGUUAGUUUGUCAGAUGAAAUUAAGAAACAUAUUAACACAUCCUUGAUGGUAUAGUUGGUUUGGAAAGUUAGCCUUCCCCCCUUCCCUAAUAAUUUGAAUUCUAGAACUCCCCUUUAUCUUCAUAUUAAAGCUGGUCUUUUCCCGAACUCAGGACUCUGCCUGAAGCACUGAGAUGUAUUGCCUGCAGCCAAAACGUCAGCUGGCAGAUUAAAGUCUAUGCCCUCAAAGAAGAAUAUAGAGAAAUCAGGACUUUGCUAUUGAACGCCAUCUCUCAUUGAGGAAAGAGACAGAGAGAGAAAGAGAGACUCCUGUAAUGGAAACCAUUCUCUUCCCUCAGGUUCUGUAGAAAAGAAGCAACAGAGGAGAUCAAUACGAACUCGCUCAGAGUCUGAGAAAUCCACUGAGGUUGUGCCAAAGAAGAAGAUCAAAAAGGAGCAGGUAGAAACAGCCCCACAGGCAGCAGUGAAGACUGGAUUACAAAAAGGUGCCAGUGAGAUUUCCGAUUCUUGUAAACCUCUGAAGAAAAGAAGCCGAGCCUCCACAGAUGUAGAAUUGGCUAACUCCGCUUACAGAGAUACCUCCGAUUCUGAUUCAAGAGGACUUAAUGAUUUACAGGGUAGUUUUGGAAAGCAGUCAGACAGCCCAUUGGCUACAGCAGAUGCUGAUGUUUCUGAUGUCCAGUCGGUUGAUUCGAGCUUGUCAAGAAGAGGUUCAGGGACAAGUAAGAGAGACACUGUUUGCCAGGUAAAUGAAAAGUGCAAAUCUGGGAAUAAAUUAUGGCUGUAAUCCUGGUUGGUUACUGUAUUUUUCUGUGUAUAAGAUGCUACUUUUUUUUUUAAAUGUUUACUUGAAAAUGGAGGGGUGUCUUAUACACAGGAGGUGGAGAGGAGAAGGCCACACAUGCUGGAUGAGCCUCUUUCUUAUAUGCAGCUCUACCAUUCCUCUGUCGUUCCUGUGAUGCAUUUCCUAUUCUUGUUGUAUUAAUUCACUCUAACAAAAGAUGGUUUCUGCACAACAUUGGCUUGUAGUGUGCUUACUACGAGAAACUACAUGAUACAUAGGGAUGUUUAAUACAUGGGGGCGUCUUAUAGACGGGAAAAAUACGGUAUUUCAUUUCUGCUGAAUCACCUUUACCAAAAGGUCAAAUAAUAACAAAUACCAAAAGAUCAAAUA